CCAGACUCCUACGGGAGGCAGCAGUGAGGAAUAUUGGUCAAUGGGCGCAAGCCUGAACCAGCCAAGUCGCGUGAGGGAAGACGGCCCUACGGGUUGUAAACCUCUUUUGCCGGGGAGCAAGCCUGAGCACGUGUGCCCAGGCGGAGAGUACCCGGAGAAAAAGCAUCGGCUAACUCCGUGCCAGCAGCCGCGGUAAUACGGAGGAUGCGAGCGUUAUCCGGAUUUAUUGGGUUUAAAGGGUGCGCAGGCGGGCUGUUAAGCCGGCGGUAAAAAUUCAGGGCUCAACCCUGUCGAGCCGUCGGAACUGGCAGUCUUGAGUGGGCGAGAAGUAUGCGGAAUGCGUGGUGUAGCGGUGAAAUGCAUAGAUAUCACGCAGAACGCCGAUUGCGAAGGCAGCAUACCGGCGCCCAACUGACGCUGAGGCACGAAAGCGUGGGGAUCGAACAGGAUUAGAUACCCUAGUA
rnacentral:rRNA from 1 species